GAUGAAGAACGCAGCGAAAUGCGAUAAGUAGUGUGAAUUGCAGAAUUCAGUGAAUCAUCGAAUCUUUGAACGCACAUUGCGCCCCUUGGUAUUCCAUGGGGCAUGCCUGUUCGAGCGUCAUUUGUACUCUCAAGCUUUGCUUGGUGUUGGGUGUUUGUCCCGCGUUGCGCGUGGACUCGCCUUAAAGCGAUUGGCAGCCGGCAUAUUGGCCUUGGAGCGCAGCACAUUUUGCGCUUCUAGUCAUGAAUGUUGGCGUCCAUUAAGCCUAUACAUUUGCUCUUGACCUCGGAUCAGGUAGGGAUACCCGCUGAACUUAAGCAUAUCAAUAACGGAGGA
rnacentral:misc_RNA from 1 species